UGCGUAGGUGGUCGGGUAAGUCUGAUGUGAAAGCUCGGAGCCUAACUCCGAAAUGGCAUUGGAUACUAUCCGGCUUGAGGAUUGGAGGGGAGACUGGAAUUCUCGGUGUAGCAGUGAAAUGCGUAGAUAUCGAGAGGAACACCAGUGGCGAAGGCGAGUCUCUAGACAAUUCCUGACACUGAGGCACGAAAGCUAGGGGAGCAAACAGGAUUAGAUACCCUGGUAGUCCUAGCCGUAAACGGUGCGUAUUUGCUGUAAAAGGAAUCGACCCCUUUUGUGGCGGAGCUAACGCGUUAAAUACGCCGCCUGGGAAGUACGGUCGCAAGAUUAAA
rnacentral:rRNA from 1 species